UACGUAGGUGGCAAGCGUUGUCCGGAUUUACUGGGCGUAAAGAGCUCGUAGGCGGUUUGUCGCGUCGUCUGUGAAAUCCCGCAGCUCAACUGCGGGCUUGCAGGCGAUACGGGCAGACUUGAGUACUGCAGGGGAGACUGGAAUUCCUGGUGUAGCGGUGAAAUGCGCAGAUAUCAGGAGGAACACCGGUGGCGAAGGCGGGUCUCUGGGCAGUAACUGACGCUGAGGAGCGAAAGCGUGGGGAGCGAACAGG
rnacentral:rRNA from 1 species